rnacentral:ribozyme from 1 species
ACAUGUUCAAGGCCAUAGCAGAACUGGUUAUGGUGUGGCCUGUCAGAUUCCAAUGAAUCUGCAAAUUCUGCU